rnacentral:rRNA from 1 species
UACGUAGGGUGCAAGCGUUGUCCGGAAUCAUUGGGCGUAAAGAGCGUGUAGGCGGCCCGAUAAGUCCGCUGUGAAAGUCCAGGGCUCAACCCUGGAAUGCCGGUGGAUACUGUCGGGCUAGAGUCCGGAAGGGGCGAGUGGAAUUCCUGGUGUAGCGGUGAAAUGCGCAGAUAUCAGGAGGAACACCAAUGGCGAAGGCAGCUCGCUGGGACGUGACUGACGCUGAGACGCGAAAGCGUGGGGAGCAAACAGG